rnacentral:rRNA from 1 species
AUUGAACGCUGGCGGCAUGCCUUACACAUGCAAGUCGAACGGCAGCACGGACUUCGGUCUGGUGGCGAGUGGCGAACGGGUGAGUAAUAUAUCGGAACAUACCCUAGAGUGGGGGAUAACGUAGCGAAAGUUACGCUAAUACCGCAUACGAACUAAGGUUGAAAGUGGGGGAUCGCAAGACCUCAUGCUCAUGGAGUGGCCGAUAUCUGAUUAGCUAGUUGGUGAGGUAAAGGCUCACCAAGGCGACGAUCAGUAGCUGGUUUGAGAGAACGACCAGCCACACUGGAACUGAGACACGGUCCAGACUCCUACGGGAGGCAGCAGUGGGGGAAUUUUUGGACAAUGGGCGCAAGACCUGAUCCAGCAAUGCCGCGUGAGUGAAGAAAGG